rnacentral:rRNA from 1 species
CCUACGGGAGGCAGCAGUGAGGAAUAUUGGUCAAUGGACGAGAGUCUGAACCAGCCAAGUCGCGUGAAGGAAGACGGCCCUAUGGGUUGUAAACUUCUUUUAUCGGGGAGUAAAAAAGGGUACGUAUACCGCAUUGUAUGUACCCUAUGAAUAAGCAUCGGCUAACUCCGUGCCAGCAGCCGCGGUAAUACGGAGGAUGCGAGCGUUAUCCGGAUUUAUUGGGUUUAAAGGGUGCGUAGGUGGGUUGUUAAGUCAGCGGUGAAAGUUUGCGGCUCAACCCUAAAAUAGCGGUUGAAACUGGCAUGCUAGAGUGCGCUAGAAGUAUGCGGAAUGCGUGGUGUAGCGGUGAAAUGCAUAGAUAUCACGCAGAACUCCGAUUGCGAAGGCAGCAUACCGG